rnacentral:tRNA from 1 species
CAGGGGGUAGUUUAAUGAGAACUUUGGCUUUGGGAGCCAAUGGUGGGGUUGGUCGUGACCUCCUCCUUGA